AUUUUUAAUACAACCUAUUCUGUAUUAUUAUAUACUGAAUAAAAGUCCUACAUUAGGAUGUAUUGUAUUAUUUUGUAGAGUUUGCUUGUAUUAGCCCGUACUCUCUUUCUCACAAGCCACAACUACUUCCAUUUCACUGGUUUUCAGUCAUCUUCUCCGGCCGAUUUGGCCGGAAUUUCAGUCAUCUUCUCUGGUUCCGCCCAAGUGUUCUCGGAUCUAUUUCUUCGUCUGUGGAACUCCUAACCUCCAUAGCUCUCUCUCUCUCUCACGCUCAAGAUUCUAUUUCAGGAGGAAGGGUGGCCACUUGGUCUGCAGCCACUUAAUGCAAGAGUUGGUUGAGCUAGAAACAGAGAUUUUUCAGAAUCAAUAUCAUUCAACACUUUCAUUUCUGGUUCUCCAACAUGUUCUACAAAUUCUUCCUCAGAUGAUGAUGGUAUGAAGGAGAUCGCUUCUACGUUCAAAAUAAUGUUUGAACAUUCAAUCGAGCAAAUGAGGUUGAUGGUGCAAGGGACUACAUCAAGUCAUUGAUUUGGUUACGUGAGUAUUAAUAUGUGAGGAUUGAUUUUGUUGGUUGAACUUUGGUUUUGGUUGUUGAAUUUUUAUUUGGUCGGUUGAAUUCUGAUUUAGUCGGUUGAAAUUUAGUGCUACGAAGUCUAUUUUAAUUAUGUAAACUUUUUUUUUAAACAAUUUGGUUACUUUUUUAUGACAAUAUAUUUAAAAUUGACAUUAA